UUGGAAGGUGGCCUGCUAAAAUGUAAUGUAAAAUUUGCCUAUUUCGAGCAAGAGGGGGCUAUGAGGUAUGCGACCAAAGCUCGAGACUCUACGGAUUGUGUGCUUAAAAGUUUUUUAUGUUGGAAAAUAUGGACAUCACAUAUAUAAUAAGGGUAAUUACAUAUUAUUAUUUACUAUCAUAAUAGGAUAGCUCAAAUUAAAAGUGAUCUAAUUUGGUUAAAAUUUUAUUAGGAUUUAAUUAUUAAAUAAAGUAUGGGUCAAAUAGGUGUAGAUACUCUAGUAAUUGAGUUCUAAUCAAAUUCUAAUUAAUGAUGGGCUUGUAAGGCCCAAUUUCUGCCUGGGCCUAAUCAAAACGGCCUAAAGCAGAAAGCCCAAUUUUCCUAGACUUAGCCCGCAACCAUUUUCAGCACCACCAUGCACCCACGUUCUCCACCACUCCUCCACACCAGCAUACCCAUGAACGGUUUCUCUCCACGCCAUACACACCUGCAAAACAUAUUAACAACUCACAGUAAUUGAUAGUAGGAAGAAAUGACAGCAAGGAAUUUGUAUUUUAUUUUUUUAUUUUUUCGGCUAUAAAACCGAAUAGAAUCAAAUGUAUAUGGGGGGUCGUUUCUUUUUUUACGAAUACAAUAGCAAAGGGAAUACAUUUGAAUAGAAAUCGAUCAAAAAAGAAAAGAAAAAAUUCAAAAAGGUGAUUCUCAGGUCUCUUUCUUUCGAUUUUUUUUCCUCUUCUUGCAUCUUUGUUUCUUUCUUUUCAUGUGAAAAUAAAAAGUGAGGGACAUACCUUCACAAGUGCGCUAUUGGAGCCUUUUCUUCUUCGUUGCAAUUGAAGCAAAGAAAGGUCUUUAGGGUGGAAAUUAUUGAGGCUUCUGAGCUUGGUUUUAAGAGAAGAAAGAGAGGCCAAAUGAGGGAUAAAAGAAUGGGGGGUUAGGGAUUUGUGUUGAUCUUUGUAGAAAAUGGCAGAUUGCCAUUCAAAAUUUUUCCCCU
rnacentral:lncRNA from 1 species